UACAGAGGCCUCGAGCGUUAGGCGGAAUCACUGGGCUUAAAGCGUGUGUAGGCGGACUUCUAAGUACCUUGUGAAAUCCCACGGCUCACCCGUGGAACUGCUCGGUAUACUGGUCGUCUUGAGCCUUCUAGGGGCGAGUGGAACAAAUGGUGGAGCGGUGAAAUGCGUAGAUAUCAUUUGGAACGCCAAUGGUGAAAACAACUCGCUGGGGAAGUGCUGGCGCUGAGACACGAAAGCCAGGGGAGCGAACGGG
rnacentral:rRNA from 1 species